UGUCAUCUUAAUGUCCCCAGUAGCACCAAUACAAGAAGGAUCUUUCUAGGAAAACUGUAUGGAUUGAAUGGAUUGAAGAAAGAACAAGACUGGAAACAGAAAAAAUAUCUUCUGCCAAAAGUAUUUUGAAAACCAAAGUGAUUUGCCUCUACUUGAAAAAUCAACUUCUAAAUUACACUCAAAAGGUGCCUUGUUGUGAACUGCCCUAUGGAUAGAAACACAUGGUAACUUUGAUGCCUCUGGAUAGCAGCAAGUAUGCACUUAAAGCCUGCCAAAGUCCAUGUGAAGAAGCAUGGAAGUGGAUUAUCUUCCAAACACUCACUGACAUGGCUACAGCCUCACCCGACACUUUUACUGCAGUCUUCUGAGAGAUACUCCCUAAGCCAGGGGAUCCAGCUAAGCCAUUCCAAGAUUCUUGACCUAUAGAAACUGCAGUAUAAUAAAUGUUUGUUUUGCUAAGCCACAAAGUUUUGGGGUGAUGUUUUAUAUAAC
rnacentral:lncRNA from 1 species